CCUACUGUGUGCAGCAGUGGGGCAUAUUGCACAAUGGGGGAAACCCUGAUGCAGCGACGCCGCGUGCGUGAAGAAGUAUUUCGGUAUGUACAGCUCUAUCAGCAGGGAAGAAAAUGACGGUACCUGACUACGAAGCCCCGGCUAACUACGUGCCAGCCGCCGCGGUAAUACGUAGGGGGCAAGCGUUAUCCGGAUUUACUGGGUGUAAAGGGAGCGUAGACGGCGGAACACGUCAGAAGUGAAAACCCGGGGCUCAACCCUGGGAGUGCUUUUGAACCUGUUUGGCUGGAGUGCAGGAGAGGUAAGCGGAAUUCCUAGUGUAGCGGUGAGAUGCGUAGAUAUUAGGAGGAACACCAGUGGCGAAGGCGGCUUACUGGACUGUAACUGACGUUGAGGCUCGAAAGCGUGGGGAGCAAACAGGAUUAGAUACCCGUGUAGUC
rnacentral:rRNA from 1 species